AAUAAGUGCAGUUUUACACUAUUUAUCUCCAACGUUUGACCGUUCGUCUUAUUUGAAUUUUUUUUAUGAUUAUUAUUUUUAUUGUUAUUAGAUGAUAAAACAUGAAUAGUACUUUAUGUGUGACUAAUUUUUUUAAAAAAAUUUAAAUCAAAUGGUCGGUCAAACGUUGGACACGGAUUUCUACGGCUGCACUUAUU
rfam:Oryza glaberrima chromosome 1 Oglab01_0258_12, whole genome shotgun sequence.